rnacentral:rRNA from 1 species
GCUAACUUGGGGGCGUCGGCGGGGGUAAAACAGGUGUGGGAAGUGUGGUUCGGAAGUAUUGGGCGGAAGGGGAGUGUAGGCGGUUUGCUAAGGCGUCUGUGAAAUCUACGGGCUUAGCCUGGAACGUGCAGAGGAAACUGGCAGGCUUGAGUGUCGGAGAGGAUAGGGGAAUUCCCGGUGUAGAGGUGAAAUUCGUAGAGAUCGGGAGGAACACCAGUGGCGAAGGCGCCUAUCUGGCUGACAACUGACGCUGAGACUCGAAAGCAUGGGGAGCAAACAGGAUUAGAUACCCUGGUAGUC